UACGUAGGGUGCAAGCGUUGUCCGGAAUUAUUGGGCGUAAAGAGCUCGUAGGCGGCUUGUCGCGUCGGCUGUGAAAACCUGGGGCUCAACCCCGGGCCUGCAGCCGAUACGGGCAAGCUAGAAUUCGGUAGGGGAGACUGGAAUUCCUGGUGUAGCGGUGAAAUGCGCAGAUAUCAGGAGGAACACCGGUGGCGAAGGCGGCUUCCUGGACCGACACUGACGCUGAGGCGCGAAAGCUAGGGGAGCAAACGGG
rnacentral:rRNA from 1 species